CCGGAAUUACUGGGUGUAAAGGGAGUGUAGGCGGGACUUCAAGUCCGUUGUUAAACCGAUCGGCUCAACUGAUCGCUGCGGCGGAAACUGAAGUUCUUGAGUGAGGUAGAGGCAGGCGGAAUUCCCAGUGUAGCGGUGAAAUGCGUAGAUAUUGGGAGGAACACCAGUGGCGAAGGCGGCCUGCUGGGCCUUAACUGACGCUGAGGCUCGAAAGUGUGGGGAGCAAACAGGAUUAGAUACCCUGGUAGUCCACACUGUAAACGAUGAUUACUAGGUGUGGGGGGACUGACCCCUUCCGUGCCGGAGUGAACACAAUAAGUAAUCCACCUGGGGAGUACGACCGCAAGGUUGAAACUCAAAGGAAUUGACGGGGGCCCGCACAAGCAGUGGAGUAUGUGGUUUAAUUCGAAGCAACGCGAAGAACCUUACCAGGUCUUGACAUCGUGUGCAUAGCGCGGAGACGCGUGAAGCCCUUCGGGGCACACAGACAGGUGGUGCAUGGUUGUCGUCAGCUCGUGUCGUGAGAUGUUGGGUUAAGUCCCGCAACGAGCGCAACCCUUACGAUUAGUUACUACGAAAGAGGACUCUAAUAGGACUGCCGUUGACAAAACGGAGGAAGGUGGGGAUGACGUCAAAUCAUCAUGCCCUUUAUGACCUGGGCUACACACGUACUACAAUGAUGGUAAACAGAGGGAAGCAAGACCGCGAGGUGGAGCGAACCCCUAAAAGCCAUCUCAGUUCGGAUCGCAGGCUGCAACCCGCCUGCGUGAAGCUGGAAUUGCUAGUAAUCGCGGAUCAGC
rnacentral:rRNA from 1 species